AUGUCGGCGGCAGCAGCAGCAGCAGCAGGCGGCAGCGCGCUACGGCCAGCCCUCGCGCUGGCGCUGGCGGUGGCGCUGGCGCUCUGGCCGUCGCCGGCGCGGGCCGGGUUCAGCUGCCGCCCCGGCGCGCGGCCGGUGGUGUUCAACUUCGGCGACUCCAACUCCGACACGGGCGGCCCGGCUGCCAAGGGGUGGCACAUCGCGCCGCCGGAGGGCCGCGCCUUCUUCCACCACCCCACCGGCCGCUUCUGCGACGGCCGGCUCGUCAUCGACUUCCUCUAUACUCACAACCUUUAUGUGCCAACAAAUCAUGUGAUGGAUCAAUCUGUCCUGUUAUCUGAAAUCCAACGGCUGAGGAUCGCGUUCCUUCGACGUCCUUGGGCUCUUCUUCUUCCGUUGGUGCUUCUGAUGGGAGGUUGGCUGUUGAGGGUGGUUCUAAUCUUGGUUCGAGGGUUGAUGAGGCGUGGCGGCGACACGAGGAACGACCGCCGUGGGAAAUGA
rnacentral:rRNA from 1 species